GGCGAGUGAAGCGGCAACAGCUCAAAUUUGAAAUCUGGCCCCCCGCGGGCCCGAGUUGUACUUUGGAGAGGACGCUUCUGGCGCGGCGCCGUCCGAGUUCCCUGGAACGGGACGCCGGAGAGGGUGAGAGCCCCGUACGGGCGGCCGCCUAGCCUCUGCGAAGCUCCUUCGACGAGUCGAGUAGUUUGGGAAUGCUGCUCAAAAUGGGAGGUAAAUUUCUUCUAAAGCUAAAUACCGGCCAGAGACCGAUAGCGCACAAGUAGAGUGAUCGAAAGAUGAAAAGCACUUUGAAAAGAGGGUCAAACAGUACGUGAAAUUGUUGAAAGGGAAGCGCCUGUGGCCAGACUUGCGCCCCGCGGACCACCCGGCGCCUCGCGCGCCGGGGCACGCCAGCGGGGCGCAGGCCAGCAUCGGCUCUCUCGGGGGGACAAAGGCCGCGGGAACGUAGCGCCCUCGCGGCGUAUUAUAGCCCGCGGCGCCAUGCCCCCGGGGGGGCCGAGGACCGCGCUCCGGCAAGGAUGCUGGCGUAAUGGCCACCGGCGACCCGUCUUGAAACACGGACCAAGGAGUCAAGCAUUGGGGCGAGUGUCUGGGUGGCAAGCCCGCACGCGGAAUGAAAGUGAACGCAGGUGGGAGCUUCGGCGCACCACCGACCGAUCCUGAUGUCCUCGGAUGGAUUUGAGUAGGAGCCCCGCCGCUUGGACCCGAAAGAUGGUGAACUAUGCCUGUAUAGGGUGAAGCCAGAGGAAACUCUGGUGGAGGCCCGCAGCGGUUCUGACGUGC
rnacentral:rRNA from 1 species